GUGUCUGCAAACGGCAAGUGCUGGAGGUUAUUUAUGACCUGGAUCUGUGAAUUUCUUGAAUUUAUGUAUUUGAAUGUUCUAACAACAGUUAGAACUAAUUUAAAGAUUUUGACUUUGAUAUUAUGUCUGCUUUUGCAAUUGCCACCAUUAAUUACUUUCCCAAAUGUAAAUGUAUAUGUAGUGAUCAUGCAAACAUGAUGUUUAAGAAUAGGCCAAGGCCAUACUAUGCCAGACAAGGCCUUUUACUAGCAUUUCCUCAGUUUUGCUUAGUUAAAAAAGAAAGAGACACAGAUAUGAUAGCAGUUGAUGAGUCUAAGGGCAGGUUAUGUGCUAGUCUGAUGCAAUGGCCUGUGAGCAUUCUAAGGGCAGGUUAUGUGCUAGUCUGAUGCAAUGGCCUGUGAGCAUUCUAAGGGCAGGUUAUGUGCUAGUCUGAUGCAAUGGCCUGUGAGCAUUCUAAGGGCAGGUUAUGUGCUAGUCUGAUGCAAUGGCCUGUGAGCAUUCUAAGGGCAGGUUAUGUGCUAGUCUGAUGCAAUGGCCUGUGAGCAUUCUAAGGGCAGGUUAUGUGCUAGUCUGAUGCAAUGGCCUGUGAGCAUUCUAAGGGCAGGUUAUGUGCUAGUCUGAUGCAAUGGCCUGUGAGCAUUCUAAGGGCAGGUUAUGUGCUAGUCUGAUGCAAUGGCCUGUGAGCAUUCUAAGGGCAGGUUAUGUGCUAGUCUGAUGCAAUGGCCUGUGAGCAUUCUAAGGGCAGGUUAUGUGCUAGUCUGAUGCAAUGGCCUGUGAGCAUUCUAAGGGCAGGUUAUGUGCUAGUCUGAUGCAAUGGCCUGUGAGCAUUCUAAGGGCAGGUUAUGUGCUAGUCUGAUGCAAUGGCCUGUGAGCAUUCUAA